GCCCGCAAAGAUAUUACAAAAUCUAAUUCCCCUUGCAGUACAGUUUGCAUAUGUAGCCAACUUGUUCCCAAAUCUCCACUGAUUUCUGCAGACUGUGCAGCAGAAUUAUUGGGAGAGGAGGUGAUAACUCUCCAGGCGUCUUGUCUGGUUGUUUCUGGUAGAUGAAAAGGCUCUGGGCCUGCUUUCCACUGUGGCCAACCUGCCCUCUUAAUUAAUUAGCGCUAGCAGGAUGUGCAGGUCCACAGGGGAGAGGAGUAAACUCCAGAGGACUGGACAAGGUGAUAAUGUCCUAAAGGAGACACCAAAUCCUUUGUGUGUGUGCAUUACUAGUAGAUACAACCCAGCUCUAAAUGAAGAGAAGCAAUCAUGUUUAAUGUUUUCUGGCAUCUGCUGGAUAGGCCUCAACGAAUUUGGACAAUUUCAUUCAAGGUAUGUUUUGUGUUUAUCACACACAAGUCUUGACAAUUUAUUAUAUACUACACAGAAAUAUGUUGCAUUUAAAGGAACAGGUGGGUAAUUUUGGAGAGAUUCACUUUGAGGGCAUGAAAGCAAAUAGUUAGCUUGUGAUAGGUUUAAGAAUUUAUGUUGGCACAUAACUGACAAGCACCCAUGCUGAGGGGGAGAUUUUUUUUAAUUGUUUUUUUUUUUUUAACUGAAGUUUCCCUGCUCUUCCUUUAUGGUACGACGAAUACGUUUCAAGCUUUCACGCUGGAUUCACCACAGCCACAGAGUUUCCAAACAUUCCUGUAAUUUACUCUACCUGGCCAAGAGAUAAUCGUAAGUUUUCUUAGCUGGCACAGUUUGGUGAAUGUGUCAUUUGAGGUGUCAAAGUAGAGAGAAUUAUAAUAGGGCAUGUUUAUACAAAACAUUCUUUUAUUCAUUUCUUUAACACUAAUAAAGGGUUUUCGAUAUGGUGUCCCAGAAUUAGUUGGUGGAUUGUUGGCGGAUUAUACCAGAGUUAUUUGCCGUCCACAGACAGGUCAAAGUUAAAGAAUGCACAAAGUGCCACAAAUUAGACAACAUUACAUGAUCGUAUGAGGUACGAGAUACAAAUAGCUACUGUCUACCUCCAAAGCUCAAAAGAUUACGUUUCUCCAGGAGACUAGGCUUUAUCUUUAAAUUUCAAAGCUUGUUUAUCGGGGAUCAGGUCCAAAUUUUUUAAAACCUAAAUUUUUCUCCUAAAAUGAAACUUCGGAUGCAUUUUUACUCCAAGUUCAGAAACAGUCAUCUCACCCUUGAUAAUAGCUUAAACUACACUAGUUAAAAGAAAUUUGUUCAAGCUAAGAGCGAGACAGCAGCUUGCAAUCACACAAAUAAGUUUGGCUGAUUACAUCAGAU
ensembl:lncRNA